AAGGAUCAUUACUGAACUGUCGACACGAGUUGUUGCUGGCCCUCAGAUGGGGGCAUGUGCACACUCUGUUUACAAACCCACUCACACCUGUGCACCCUCUGUAGUUCUGUGGUGUGGGGGACACUGUCCUCCCGCUGUGGUUCUAUGUCUUUACACACACACUCAGUGAUAAAGUCUUAUGGAAUGUAUGUCGCGUUUAACGCAAUACAAUACAACUUUCAGCAACGGAUCUCUUGGCUCUC
rnacentral:misc_RNA from 1 species